CCUACGGGUGGCAGCAGUAGGGAAUCUUCCACAAUGGGCGAAAGCCUGAUGGAGCAACGCCGCGUGGGUGAAGAAGGUCUUCGGAUCGUAAAACCCUGUUGUUAGAGAAGAAAGUGCGUGAGAGUAACUGUUCACGUUUCGACGGUAUCUAACCAGAAAGCCACGGCUAACUACGUGCCAGCAGCCGGGGUAAUACGUAGGUGGCAAGCGUUAUCCGGAUUUAUUGGGCGUAAAGGGAACGCAGGCGGUCUUUUAAGUCUGAUGGGAAAGCCUUGGGCUUAACCGGAGUAGUGCAUUGGAAACUGGGAGACUUGAGUGCAGGAGAGGAGAGUGGAACUCCAGGUGUAGCGGUGAAAUGCGUAGAUAUAUGGAAGAACACCAGUGGCGAAGGCGGCUCUCUGGUCUGUAACUGACGCUGAGGUUCGAAAGCGUGGGUAGCAAACAGGAUUAGAUACCCGAGUAGUC
rnacentral:rRNA from 1 species